UACGAAGGGGGCUAGCGUUGUUCGGAAUUACUGGGCGUAAAGCGCGCGCAGGUGGUCUUUCAAGUCAGUGGUGAAAGCCCGGAGCUCAACUCCGGAAAUGCCAUUGAAACUGUGAGACUUGAGGACGAGAGAGGUGAGUGGAAUUCCCAGUGUAGAGGUGAAAUUCGUAGAUAUUGGGAAGAACACCGGUGGCGAAGGCGGCUCACUGGCUCGUAUCUGACGCUCAGGCGCGACAGCGUGGGGAGCAAACGGG
rnacentral:rRNA from 1 species